rnacentral:lncRNA from 1 species
CAGGUGGUCAUGCUGGCUAUGUACAACUUGUCUCUGGAAGGAAGUGGACGUCAAGGCUACUUCCGGUGGAAAGAAGAUAUCUGUGCUUUUAUUGAGAAACAUUGGACUUUUUUACUAGGAAAUAGGAAAAAGACUUCGACGUGGUGGAGCACAGUAGCAGGUUGCCUCAGCGUGGGAAGUCCUGUUUAUUUCCGUUCAGGUGCUCAGGAAUUUGGAGAGCCUGGAUGGUGGAAACUUGUUCAUAACAGACCCCCAACAAUGAGACCAGAGGGAGAGAAGCUGUCUGCCUCCACUUUGAAAGUGAAAGCUUCAAAACCAACACUGGAUCCCAUCAUUACCGUUGAAGGACUCAGAAAACGAGCAAGCCGGAAUCCUGUGGAAUCAGCCAUGGAAUUGAAAGAGAAGCGGUCUCGAACACAGG